rnacentral:rRNA from 1 species
UACGAGAGGCCCAAGCGUUGUUCGGAAUUACUGGGCGUAAAGGGUUCGUAGGCGGCAAUGCAAGUUGGGUGGGAAAGCCCUCGGCUCAACCGAGGAAUUGCGCUCUAAACUGCAGUGCUUGAGGAACCUAGAGGUGAGCAGAACAGAUGGUGGAGCGGUGAAAUGCGUUGAUAUCAUCUGGAAUACCGGAGGCGAAGGCGGCUCACUGGGAGUUUUCUGACGCUGAGGAACGAAAGCCAGGGUAGCGAACGGG